CACUCUCUGCCUUCUCCCUCAUCUCAACGGGAUUCCGGCCGGCGCCCUUCUCCUCCGACGAGCACACUCCAAACCUACUCACCACAAACCCUCCUUCUGUUCAGCAAAUAACCCAACCUCCUUCUCUACUAUUACCAGUCCACCCCCACCCCUGAGCCCUUAGUGAGAGGGUAGGACGAGAGGGAGAGAGUGUGGUGAAGUAGGAGGAGCCGACCACCAGCGGCCGAUGGCGGCGCACGGUGGCGAACAGAGAAGCAGAUAGAUAGGGAGAGAUCGGUCAGAGACAGAAAGUGGAGGAGUAAGAGUUGACGGCGGUGGGCUCACAUCGGAACAAUAGCAGUGUCCGGCGGCUACCGAUGACACAUAGCACCGGCCCGAGUUGGCGGCGCCGGUGACGAGAACAAUAGUGGCAGGGGUGCAAGCAGCAGUGAUGAAGAGUUGGAUAAAAAUAUACGUUUGGUGUUUGAAAUACUCUGCAGUGAAAACCAGUGAACAGAUGCUUGUUAUCCACCUUUCUUCUAUUAUCAAAAGCAUGACAGCUCUUCACAGCUUGAUCAAUAAUAACUCUUCAUCAGCUAAUGACCGUUGACAACAUGUGAAGCAUGGGAUGAAUAGAGAUACCAAGAUUCAUGGAUUGCUUAGAGCUAUUUUUAUAGUAAAAUUCCUACCUGAAAGAACGUUUUGACUUCUCUUGUAAACAUUUGGGAUAUGCUUUGUAUUGAACUUACAAUUGAAGUUAUGAUAUUAUGAUUUCUACAUUC